UGCAGGUGGUUUGUUAAGUUCAGAUGUGAAAGCCCGGGGCUCAACCUCGGAAUAGCAUUUGUAAACUGGCAGACUAGAGUACUGUAGAGGGGGGUAGGAAUUUCAGGUGUAGCGGUGAAAUGCGUAGAGAUCUGAAGGAAUACCGGUGGCGAAGGCGGCCCCCUGGACGGAUACUGACACUCAGAUGCGAAAGCGUGGGGAGCCAAACAGGAUUAGAUACCCCUGGUAG
rnacentral:rRNA from 1 species